UAUUCCAACUAAAAAGAUGUUUGUGUAGAGAAAGGACUUCCCUGGUGGUUUGGCACUUGGGACUCUGCAUUUUCACUGCCAAGGGCGCAAGCUCAAUCCCUGGCUUGUGGAUUUACAUGCCUAUGGUUUUCUUAAGUAAACCUAUAUUUUGGCGACAGGAACUACAGUGUUGAGAAAAUGAUCCAGGUUUGGCAUCUGAAAACUGGGUUUGAGUUUGGCCUCACCUCUGAAUUAGCCAGUCUGAGUACUCUGGUGGUUUGGGGACGAUGACGGUCUCGAAACUCUUCAGUUUCAUCCUAUGUAAUAUAAGAAUUAAGACAGCUCCAUGCUGGGAAUGCUCUCUGUGCAGUUUACCUAAUGAUCUAACUUUUUUUUUUUUUUUCCAUGUGCGAAAUGGAGACAUUCACUUUCCUCACAGGACUAGAGCGCAGGAUGGGGUUUGAUACCUCGUGAGAGAUGGAGGGAGAAAGAAGUGAGGUGGUCUGACAACAGCAAGUGGCAGAGAAGAUGCCGGAACCCAGCUCCUUAACUCUGAUAGGUGCUCUUCUGCACUAUCCCUCAUGAAGGCAGGAGUUACAUGGACCGCGUACACCUGCUUGCCAGGAAUCCCCCUGCGUCUUUCUGUCCUCCCUGUGUACAUGGGAAUUUUCUGACUCCAAAGGAAUAUAUAGGCUUGUUGGACUCUCAACCAUCAGGUGCAGAGUGGUUGUUCCCAACUUCUUUCCUGCUGCCCCACUAUUCCAAUGAACAACUGUCUCCAUCAGCCGAGGGGCCCAAGGUACACCCACCCCACCCAGCCCAGAAGGUCAUGCGCAGAGUGGAGGAGAGGAGCGGGUGCAGGAUAAGAAAGCACGUCCUCAUAGCUCUGGUCCAUCUCCCAGCCGACACCCACCCUCACACCCCUUUCUUUGUUUGCUUCCUUGAAAGGAAAACAAACUGCUCUUUCCCCCUCAUCUCCCGGUAUCUUCACACUUCAGAAACUAAACAGUACUUUGGGCUCAAGUCUUACUUGCAUCCGUUUAUAUGAAACUUCUCCAGGCUUAUUGGCCAUGUGGAAAAAUGUCUCCAUGGUGGGGAAAAAAAAAUCACAAUACUGUAUUGAAAAAGGAGUGAUAACAGCUGUUCAGAUAUUGGUGGCAAAUAGUUUUUUAUACUCUUACUUGUGAAAUCUUUGGGGUUGGUCAGGGCCCUGCUACCACCUACUCCAGUUUCUCAUCUUUUGGAACAUGCUUUUUUGUAAAGCCCUGCCGAUUGUGCCAUUGUCAUGUCAAGGUCAUCGGCAGCCGUAACACACUCCUAACUGUAGGGGCAAAACACCAAGACAAUUACUAGAGGCCAGCUUGCUGUUCGGAUGGGGUCGUGGGCUGACACCACAGUCGAGGGUCAGGCCUAGAAGUUAAACUUGCCAGUUCAGUGAGCCGUAGGACUGACUUAGACCACCAAGCUCCCAGGACGCUGAGGGCAAGGAAGCAGAUACAUCACCCUACUCGUGAGGCUCCAGUGCUCAUACAUGCUGCCGAGGUCCCCCUUUUUUUAGUUACAAAAUGACGUUUAUUUUUAAAAGAGGGGUUUUAUGUAGUGAGCAGGGAAUCCCAGCAAAGGCAAUUAAGAGGGUCCUGCAAACUAAUUCACUUAGGCUGCAAAAUGCCUGGUAACUCCUUUUAGUCCUUGAAACAGCAUCUCUCUCUCCACAGUAGUCACGCUCUUUACCUUCUAAUUUUCCAACUCACUUAGAUAAAACUGCUUAAACAAUGAAAAUUAUUAGUAAUCUGAUUUUCUUCAAGAGUCUGUGGGGACCUUUAUCCUUUGUUUACCACACUGUUCUUAAGAUAGGUUACAAUAAAAUCAUUUGACAGAAAAACUGGAUGAAAAAAAUGUCUGGCUUUGAUUCAGGAAGCUGACAGAGUUGAGGUUUUGAGGACUUUCCUGGCGGUCCAGUGGUUGAGACUCUGUGCUUCCCAGGCAG